rnacentral:rRNA from 1 species
UACAGAGGGUGCGAGCGUUAAUCGGAAUUACUGGGCGUAAAGGGUGCGUAGGUGGUUAUAUUAGUUAGGUGUGAAAGCCCCGGCUUAACCUGGGAAUUGCGCCUAAUACUGUGUAGCUAGAGUACUGUAGAGGAAGGUGGAAUUUCCGGUGUAGCGGUGAAAUGCGUAGAUAUCGGAAGGAACACCGAUGGCGAAGGCAGGUCUCUGGGCUGACACUGACGCUCAUGCACGAAAGCGUGGGGAGCAAACAGG